CCCUUUGAUGCUCUGGGCGGCACGCGCGCUACACUGGUUUAUAUAACGUGUAAUUUGGACGAUAGUCUGUAUAAAUCACUAAUAUAAAACCGUGAAUGGGAUAGUUUAUUGCAACUUACAAACUUUAACUAGGAAUCCCUUGUAGAAGUAGUGAAUUAUACUGCUUCGAAUACGUCCCUGCCGAUUGUACACACCGCCCGUCGUUUCUUCCGACUGGUACUCAUUGUGAAUUGCGAGGAGAUUCUGUCAAAUCGUUGUAAAUGCUGGGUAUUGGAGGAAGAAAAAGUCGUAACA
rnacentral:rRNA from 1 species